CCUACGGGCGGCAGCAGUGAGGAAUAUUGGUCAAUGGACGAGAGUCUGAACCAGCAAAGUCGCGUGAAGGAUGACUGCCCUAUGGGUUGUAAAAUUCUUUUAUAUGGGAAUAAAAUGUUCAGCGUGUGGGAUUUUGUAUGUACCAUAUGAAUACGGAUCGGCUAACUCCGUGCCAGCCGUCGUGGUAAUACGGAGGAGCCGAGCGUUAUCCGGAUUUAUUGGGUUUAAAGGGAGCGUAGGUGGAUUGUUAAGUCAGUUGUGAAAGGUUGCGGCUCAACCGUCAAAUAGCAGUUGAAACUGGCAGUCUUGAGUACAGUAGAGGUGGGCGGAAUUCGUGGUGUAGCGGUGAAAUGCUUAGAUAUCACGAAGAACUCCGAUUGUGAAGGCAGCUCACUGGACUGCAACUGACACUGAGGCUCGAAAGUGUGGGUAUCAAACAGGAGUAGAUACCCGAGUAGUC
rnacentral:rRNA from 1 species